CUGAAUUUCUGAGUUGGAAGUCCGACGAGAAGGGGGUGUUCCAGUUGGAAAUUCCGA
rnacentral:pre_miRNA from 1 species